CAGCAGUCCAGAGUGGGGCUCGGAGACUCCCACGCUGCUACCGCUCUGUGAGUUCUCAGACAGCACUCGGCUGAGACACUCUACGGUCCUGGAUUAGGUGCCAGACCUUCCAAGAUAAAUAAAUUCCAAAGAAGGUUAUGGACAUCUAUAGUCUCUCUGAG